rnacentral:tRNA from 1 species
GCGGAUAUGGCGGAAUUGGCAGACGCGCACGGUUCAGGUCCGUGUGAAAGUUCUCUCAUACAGGUGGGGGUCCUGCUAUCCGCA